rnacentral:lncRNA from 1 species
AUUUGCAGUCAUCUGAAAUUUCAACAUGAAAUAUAUUAGGCCCCAAAUAACCUAGGAUGUCUUAAAUUUUAUUUUAUUUAUUUUUUAUACAGCAGGUUCUUAUUAGUUAUCUAUUUUAUACAUAUUAGUGUAUAUAUGUCAAUCCCAAUCUCCCAAUUCAUCCCACCACCACCACCCCUGCCACUUUUCCCCCUUGGUGUCCAUACGUUUGUUCUCUACAUCUGUGUCUCAAUUUCUGCCCUGCAACCGGUUCAUCUGUACCAUUUUUCUAUAACCUAGGAUGUCUUAUAUCAGAAAUUGGAGGUGAUGUUAUUUUUAACUACGACUUUUAAAUACUGCAUUCAAGAGAAGACCACGGUCUUGAGAUAGUCACACUCAAUACAUUCUAGCAUACUUUUAGAUGUGUCCUAGCUUGUUUCAAAUUUAUUAAUUAAUUUAUUUUUUACAUUUAUUUAGUGCAUGUUUUAUCCGAUAAGAAGAACACUACAAAUCAUUUUUUUUCCUGAAAAUGCUGCUGUUAACUAGCCUUUCCUGUAAAAGAAUGUCCCUACAAAGAAAAAACAUGUGAUUACCAAGCUUCUAGAAAAGUAAGUAAGAACUAAUUAGGCAAAAUGUAAAUCAAACACUGCGACAAUCAUAAUUUUAAUCCACAGUAAAAUCUCAGUGUGCUAGUAAACUUAUGAUGGUGCAGAGUCUUGUCCUUCCAAUGAUUUAAAUCUAGAAACAGAUCUAACACUGAGAAGAGCCAACAGAAACCACCAACAUUCCUCUUUCUCCUGAACAUUUUGAAUGAGACUAGAACAUGUUCUUUAGCCAAAGAGACAGUGUAAACUCAAGGAAAAUGAAAUGUCUCAGUGAAACGUUUUAAUGAAAAUAUGUAAUUUAUUGGAUAAAGUGUAAGUUAAAUAUUUUCAUUAAAAUCUUUGACUGACAUUUAAUUUUCCCGAAUUCAUAUUUGUUAAAAUGUUUGGUUUGACAAAAAUAAAAUCAGUAUACAUUACUUUUAAGUAUAUGGGAAAGAAAGAGGACUAGCCAUUAUGGGACUGCUUUCUUUCGUUUUCUGAAGUUAUAUAAGCAACAUCCUUUUAAAUGAAAAUGUGAGAAGUGGAAAAAGCAAGGAAAAAAAAUCACAUACAGUCCUUCACCCAAACUCAACAUUUGUAGAUAGUCCUGUUUCCUUUUUUUAAAUAUUUCGAUUGUGAAGUCUAACGUACCUACAGAAAAGCCUAUAAAAUUUCUAUGUGCGGUUUAGCAAGUAGUUAAAAAGUGAUUGCCAAUGUAACCACCAACCAGGACAAGAAAUGAAAUAACUGCUGGAGGCUCCCCACACCCGUGCAGCCCUUCCCUUCCCCUCACUAACACCACCACUACCCUGAUUUUAUGGUAGCCAAUCCUUUGCUUUUCUUGAUCAAUUCACCACCUACACCAUUGCCUCCCACAUAUACACCCCUAAACCAUGCACCUUUAACUCGGUUUUCCUACUUCACGUAAAUAUAUUUACACUGUGCAUUUUCUUUUGUGCCUUGCUUUUAAAAAAUUCAAUAUUAUGUUUAUAAAAUUCACCACUGUUUUUGUAUGUAGCUGGAGCUUAAUUUUCAUUAUUGUAAAAAUUCAAUAUUGUGUUUGUAAAAUUCAUCGCUGUUUUUGUAUGUAGCUGGAGCUUAAUUUUCAUUAUUGUAUAAUAUUCCAUUAUAUGCAUUUAUCUACCUACUAAUGGGUAUUUGGUUUGUUUUUAAGUUGAGGAUAUUACAAAUAAUGUUUGGAUAUGUAUCCUGGUGUGAUUAUCCAUGCCUGUCCAGGAGUAUAAUAGGUGUUCAUAAGGUAUGGCUUUUAAUCAUAAUUAAAUAUUUUAACAUAAUUUUCUAAGUAGUAUUUUCUAUUAUUUCAUAGUUGUAAUAACGAUCAUUUUGUUGGAUAAUUUUCCAUUUAUGGCUGAAUGUUACAGCCUGGUCUUUUGUAAUAAAUUCACUCCACUUUCUAAUGCUUCUAGAGCUGGAAACAAUUAAAAUCUAGUCUCUUAGCAAGUUUAAUGUUUAUAACACACUUUUAUGUCUGUGCUCACUGUACUGUGUAUUACAGUGGUCUCCGGGACUUAUUUAUCUACUUGUUGCACAUGUGUAACCCUUACACAUCUCUUCCAUUCCCUCACCCCCUGAGACCUAUUGUUUUAAAAGUGUGGUUUAGACUUCCUGCUUCCACUGCAGGGGGUGUGGAUUCAAUCCCUGGUGGGGGAACAAAGAUCCCAUAUGCCCCGUGGCACGCCAAAAAAUAAAAUAAAAUAAUAAAAGCGUGGUAAGUGUUUGGCCUGCCAGGAAAAUUAUAGAGUUCAGUUUAAACUUUUUGUGAAAAGUUUAGUUUUCAGCUAUACAAUUCUGUGAUAUGUUGAAAUCAACGUGUCACGUUUGCCGAACUCCACUCUUCAACAUCUCCUUCCUGACUUCUUUGAGAGUCAUUUUAGUGUUUCUCCAGGCAGGCUCCCUGCCCGGCCACUUCACAGACCUCCUCAGCAUCCAAUAAAAGCUUUCGCUGUGCUUUGACACAGGAACCAAGGUUGCUAAGAGACCACCUGUGCUGAAUGCACUUUGUUCUAGCAAGAGCAGCUGGAGAGAAAACCCAGGAGCAGCAUUAUCAACCACUACCCCGGAUUAAGUCAGGGAGCAGGAGCGUUUGGAUAUGACGUGUAAACACUGGAUGUUAAUUUCUACUACUAACCCCACAAGUCUGGAAGAUGAAAUUGUGGGAAGACUUCUAAAAAUUCUGUUUUUUAUCUUUGUUGACUUCCUGUCUAUUAUAUAUGUUGUUAUAACUUCUUAGAAAGCUGACUUCCCUUACUUUACAUGUGAAUUUCAUAUUGAAUUACAGUGAAUAAAAUUUUGUAAUUU